AUGGCCGGCGCUGGCGGAGAUCGCCGCGUCGCUUCUCCUUGCGCGUCCCUCGAGAAUAUACUGCGGACAAGCAGCAACCUCUCCGUGGUCUCACCUCCACAAUUACUGGCCGACGAAUACACUCAGCCUUAUUAUGAUGCCCUCACUGCUCCUGUAUCGUCACCCAACUCACAUCUCCUUGUCACCACUGGAUGCCAGAAUUUCUUUUGGCGUGUUGGUAGCCACACUUGGUUGGAGUGUUCUCCUCACAUUGCAAUGCUCAAGCAGAUAGUGUCUCUUCAAAGGCCAACUUUAAAGCAUCGGCCUUGA
rnacentral:rRNA from 1 species